UGAUAAGAUGAUCAGGUGUCACCAUUAAAAUAAUCAAGUUAUGUAGCCACUAUAUAAAGCUAUAGGUCGGCAUUAGAAGCCCCAAACUCUUGACAUAAUAGCGAAGGAAUGGCAGAACGGGAGCUUGUGUAGUGUCGGCUCAGGUUAGAGAGGGUA